GGGUUGGAGAUCCCGGUAUGAUGCCUGCCUUACUAGCAGGAUGUCGCGUGUUCAAAUCACGCCUCGCCCACCA
rnacentral:tRNA from 1 species